UAAUGACCACAUUAAGGAAAACACAGCAUAUUGUGUUGAAACUGAUCCUUUGACAUGGCUUGACAAAUGUGACAAUGUCACAAUGCCCCUUCGGAUGGGGUAGGCCCUAAUAGUUAUUAGGAAAAGUCUAAACAGAAUCCAUGGAAUGUCCCAACUCUGACCUUGGUUAAGGUAAGGGUUAAGGUUAAGGUAGGGGUUAAGGUUAGGGUUUAGGGUAGGGACGUCCCAAGGAUCACGGAUAACACUAACCCUAGUUAUUAUGGGGUAACAUUUUGACAUGGAAACACACUUAGGAAAUAAUAUUUGUUGCCAAUGAAGCUAGAGCUCAUUGGCUACCCAUAUUCAACAUUGAUAUCGUAGUUUGAAAUGUCAGUAGAUUUCUAACUGAUGUACUGAUUGCGACACUGAGGUCUUCCCUGAGGAGCAAGCAAAGGAGACCCAGAAGAAAGAGAAGAAGAAGAGCAUCCAUCCAGCUGUGGCGGCCCUGCAGCUGUUCACUCUCUUCUGCUGUGGUGGGAAAGUCAAGCUGAGGAAGGACCAGGACAACGAUAAUGCAUCUGAUACUGGUUCAGACUUGUCUGGAGGUGAUGUUACAACCAAAAGGGUCAAGGACAAGAGAAAUGGAAAGGUGGGCAGGGAGAAAGACCGGACUGAAGUUCAGCUGUUGAAAUCAUCUCAGGACCACAAGGGAACUAAUUCAGGACAAAGACCUAACUCUGUGAAACAACCAAACAUGCUGUAUCAUAUUUUAUUGUGAGCAAAAGAUCUUUCCCAUAAUGCUGUGUUAUCAUUGGGUGUUACAAUUGUGUUGUGCAGGAAAAUCAAAGGACACCCCGGCAAGUGAAGACCCCUGUGGAGGAAAUUUACAUAAGACCUGACUCUCCGACUCUACCACGUGCCCACGUAAGUUACUGAAACCUAAAUUACUAUACGGACAGACAGAGAUUCAAACAUGAGACAAUUUCCCCUCUGACCUCAACCUAACCACCCUUCUCCUCCGGGUAGAGCUCCCUCUCUCAGUUUUCCCUGGCUCGGAACCUGGCCAUCCUCCCUCUGGAGUGGCAGCUACCCGGAGUC
rnacentral:lncRNA from 13 species